UACGGAGGUGGCAAGCGUUGCUCGGAAUCACUGGGCGUAAAGCGCACGUAGGCGGAUUGUUAAGUCAGGGGUGAAAUCCUGGAGCUCAACUCCAGAACUGCCUUUGAUACUGGCGAUCUUGAGUCCGGGAGAGGUGAGUGGAACUGCGAGUGUAGAGGUGAAAUUCGUAGAUAUUCGCAAGAACACCAGUGGCGAAGGCGGCUCACUGGCCCGGUGCUGACGCUGAGGUGCGAAAGCGUGGGGAGCAAACAGG
rnacentral:rRNA from 1 species